AUAUUUAUUAACCCCACACAUACUAAAUCACAACCACCAAACCAUUUUUCCCCUCAAGUAUGGGCGACAGAAAGAGAACAUGUUGAGCUAUAGAAAAAGUACCGCAAGGGAACGCUGAAAGAGAAGUGAAAGAACUCAGUAAAGCCUAAAAAAGCAGAGAUUAAGCCUCGUACCUUUUGCAUCAUGGUUUAGCUAGAAUACAUCAAGCAAAAAGCGUUUUAGUUUGACACCCCGAAACCAAGUGAGCUACUCCAAAACAGCCUUUAAUGUAGGGCAACCCCGUCUCUGUGGCAAAAGAGUGGGAAGAGUUUCGAGUAGAGGUGAUAAACCUACCGAACCUGGUCAUAGCUGGUUGCCCGGGAACUGAAUUGAAGUUCAGCCUUUUGAAUUUUUUUUCAAAAUGACCCAAAGGUUAUAUUAAAGAUUAAAAGAAGUUAAAAGAGUUAGUCAAAGGGGGUACAGCUCCUUUGAAACAAAUACAACUUUUAUAGAAGGGAAAAGAUCACAUUUAUACUAAGGCCUUAUUUAACAGUGGGCUUGAAAGCAGCCAUCCUAAAAGAAAGCGUUAAAGCUCAAAUAUUUAUUCCAGCCUAUAAUUCUGAUAUUCUAAUCUCAACCCUCUAGUUCUACCGGACUUCUCCAUGCAAUCAUGGAAGAAUAAAUGCUAAAAUUAGUAAUAAGGGGGGCUCGACCCCCUCCUUGCACAAGUGUAAAUCGAAACGGACCACCCAUCGAAACUUAACGGACCCAAAAAAAGAGGGUAAUAAACUAAAAAUAAACUACCAGAAAACCACUUAUAUCUUAACCCGUUAACCCCACACUGGUGUGCCCCCAAGGACUAGGCUAAAAGAAAAAGAAGGAACUCGGCAACACACAAACCCCGCCUGUUUACCAAAAACAUCGCUUCUUGCAUACCACUAAUAAGAAGUCCUGCCUGCCCUGUGAUUAUUAAUUUUAACGGCCGCGGUAUCUUAACCGUGCAAAGGUAGCGCAAUCACUUGUCUUUUAAAUAAAGACCUGUAUGAAUGGCUUGACGAGGGUUUAACUGUCUCCUUUUUCCAGCCAAUGAAAUUGAUCCCCCCGUGCAGAAGCGGGGAUACUCCCAUAAGACGAGAAGACCCUAUGGAGCUUUAGACGAAAAGCAGAUCAAGUCAAAACAACCUAAUUAAAGGGCCAAACCAAUUGACACCUGCCCUGAUGUCUUUGGUUGGGGCGACCACGGGGAAACAAAAAACCCCCAAUGAAGAAUAAAAGCACAUGUCCUUUUAAAGCUUAGAGCUACCGCUCUAACUAACAGAACCUCUGACUACCAGACCCGGAUUCAAACCGAUCAACGAACCAAGUUACCCUAGGGAUAACAGCGCAAUCUCCUUAUAGAGUCCCUAUCGACAAGGAGGUUUACGACCUCGAUGUUGGAUCAGGACAUCCUAAUGGUGCAACCGCUAUUAAGGGUUCGUUUGUUCAACGAUUAACAGUCCUACGUGAUCUGAGUUCAGACCGGAGUAAUCCAGGUCAGUUUCUAUCUAUGAAGUGAUUCUUCUCAGUACGAAAGGACCAGAAAAAAGAGGCCCAUACUAAAAGCACGCCUCACCCCCAUCUAUUGAAUUCAAUUAAAAUAGACAAGAGGGCACACCCUCUUGCCUAUGACAACGGCAU
rnacentral:rRNA from 1 species